AUUGUCACGCACAUCUCUAGCGGUGCAAGGUAUUAACCCCCUGUUUUCAUUAUUUUGUUUUUUGCAAAACCAACUUCUAUCUCAGUCUUUUAGGACUUCUUACUGGAUGUUGAUUAUUUUUUAUUGUUGUUUUCUUCAGCUUUUACAUGAUCUAUGGGUGCAGGUAUGACUCACCGCAAAGACCGAACAAGGUUUAAGGAGUGCAAUUUGAACACAAUUAUGCAGCAAGCUGAGAGCUUCAAGGAAGUGUUUGUUGAGCUUUGGAGAAACCUUAACCAAACCCAAUUGAUGAGUUUUGCCAUGACAGCUUGGAGUAUAUGGCAAAAACGCAACCUACAGUUNNCUUUCUUUUUUCAUUACCUCCAUUAAAAUGAUAAUGAAAACAAAUGUUAUAUUGUCAAUAACUUAGCAAAAGUCAACAACCAAAUAAGAAAAAUAUUUUUAUAUGGCAUAAGAUAUGCCAAGCAAAAAAAAGUACAAAAGCGGCUAAAUCAAAACAGAGCAGACUCCAAAAAUUCAGAAAACACCUAUCACUUGAUACAAAAUUCAUGA
rnacentral:lncRNA from 1 species